GACUUAAUACUUUAAGAUAAAAGGUCUGAUUUGCAUUCAGAUAAUAGAUCAUAUAGAUCUUUGGGUCA
rnacentral:tRNA from 1 species